GAUGAACGCUGGCGGCGUGCCUAAUACAUGCAAGUCGAGCGAACGGACGAGAAGCUUGCUUCUCUGACGUUAGCGGCGGACGGGGGAGUAACACGUGGAUAACCUACCUAUAAGACUGGGAUAACUUCGGGAAACCGGAGCUAAUACCGGAUGAUAUUUUGAACCGCAUGGUUCAAAAGUGAAAGACGGUUUUGCUGUCACUUAUCGAUGGAUCCGCGCUGCAUUAGCUAGUUGGUAAGGUAACGGCUUACCAAGGCAACGAUGCCUAGCCGACCUGAGAGGGUGAUCGGCCACACUGGAACUGAGACACGGUCCAGACUCCUACGGGAGGCAGCAGUAGGGAAUCUUCCGCAAUGGGCGAAAGCCUGACGGAGCAACGCCGCGUGAGUGAUGAAGGUCUUCGGAUCGUAAAACUCUGUUAUUAGGGAAGAACAGAUGUGUAAGUAACUGUGCACAUCUUGACGGUACCUAAACAGAAAGCCACGGCUAACUACGUG
rnacentral:rRNA from 1 species